CGCGCAUGCGCAGAGCGGACACGGCGGCGGCCGGAGCGGAGAGAGGGGCGGCGCCAUGAUGGCGGCUCAGGGGGGAGGAGACGGAGCCACCGAAGACGACGAUGGAGCAUCCACCGGAGCGUCAGCGCCCCCCGAUGACGGGGAGGACUCAGAGGAGACGUCGGUGUCGUCGGGGGAGAGCGGACCCCCAACACCCCCCCCAAGUAACGGCUGCGCAGGUUCCCGCAGCCGUUCCCCCCCCCCCACCCUCAGACCCAGCGGAGGAUCCCGAACUGGUGGGGGUGGGUGUGUCGGCCCUAUACAUUCUAUAGGUCCCAGCCCCAUAGAAUGGCACCAAUGCCCCGAAUGCGGCCGAGGGUUCGGUACAUCCCGAGCCCUUAAAGUCCAUCGUAGUUACCAUAUAGGGAGGAAAAGACCCCAAAGUGGGGCUGGGGGGGGUGGGGGACCCCCACCCCAUUAUUGGAGGACCCCCCCCAAUUAACCCCCCCAUAGAUCCCAAUGGGAGAACCCCCCCCCCCCCCCCCCAAGUCCCCAUUAAAGUGAAUGGGAAUGAAUGGAGAUGGGGUUUUUAGAGUCUUAUUGGGGGGGGGGGGGGCAGAGACUUGAGACCCCCCCCCCAAUUAUGGGGACCCCCCCAAUUAUACCCCCAUAGAUCCCAAUGGGAGACCCCCCCCCCCCAUCCCCAUAGAACCCAAUGGGAGACCCCCAUCCCCAUUGAACAUGAAUGCGGGGAGGGUUGAGUUCUUAUUGGGGGGGGGCAAGAGACUUGAGACCCCCCCUAAAUAUGGGGGACCCCCCCCCCCAAUUAACCCCCCCAUUUGAUCCCAAUGGGAGACCCCCCCCCCCCAGUUAAACCUUGAUCCAAUGGGAGACCCCCCCCCCCCCCCCCCAAUUCCCCAUGAUAUGAAUGGAAUAAAUGGCUGUGAUGGAAGGCGGGGCUUUGAGUC
rnacentral:lncRNA from 1 species